UGGGGAAUUUUGGACAAUGGGGGAAACCCUGAUCCAGCCAUCCCGCGUGUGCGAUGAAGGCCUUCGGGCUGUAAAGCACUUUUGGCAGGAAAGAAACGUCAUGGGUUAAUACCCCGUGAAACUGACGGUACCUGCAGAAUAAGCACCGGCUAACUACGUGCCAGCAGCCGCGGUAAUACGUAGGGUGCAAGCGUUAAUCGGAAUUACUGGGCGUAAAGCGUGCGCAGGCGGUUCGGAAAGAAAGAUGUGAAAUCCCAGAGCUCAACUUUGGAACUGCAUUUUUAACUACGGGGCUAGAGUGUGUCAGAGGGCGGUGGAAUUCCGCGUGUAGCAGAGAAAUGCGUAGAUAUGCGGAGGAACACCGAUGGCGAAGGCAGCCUCCUGGGAUAACACUGACGCUCAUGCACGAAAGCGUGGGGAGCAAACAGG
rnacentral:rRNA from 1 species